rnacentral:rRNA from 1 species
CUACGGGGUGCUGCAGUGGGGAAUAUUGGACAAUGGGGGAAACCCUGAUCCAGCAAUGCCGCGUGUGUGAAGAAGGCCUGCGGGUUGUAAAGCACUUUCGGUUGGGAGGACUGCUUCUAGCACUAAUAUUGUUGGAAGUUGACGUUACCUUCAGAAGAAGCACCGGCUAACUCCGUGCCAGCAGCCGCGGUAAUACGGAGGGUGCAUGCGUUAAUCGGGAUUACUGGGCGUAAAGCGCGCGUAGGCGGCUAGAUCAGUCGGGUGUGAAGGCCCGGGCUUAACCUGGGAACUGCAUCCGAUACUGUCUAGCUUGAGUACAGGAGAGGAGAGUGGAAUUCCACAUGUAGCGGUGAAAUGCGUAGAUAUGUGGAGGAACACCAAUGGCGAAGGCAGCUCUCUGGCCUGAUACUGACGCUGAGGUGCGAAAGCGUGGGGAGCAAACAGGAUUAGAUACCCGUGUAGUC